AAUCAAGCGCGAAAAGGGCGUUUGGUGGAUGCCUAGGCAGCAAGAGGCGAUGAAGGACGUGGUACCCUGCGUUAAGCCAUGGGGAGCCGGGAACAGGCUUUGAUCCAUGGAUGUCCGAAUGGGGGAACCCACCUGACAGUUCGUUAUAAUUACUUCGGUAGCUUAUAACGGGUUGAGACAGGUACUUAUCCCUGAAUACAUAGGGGAAUAAGAGCAAACCCGGGGAACUGAAACAUCUAAGUACCCGGAGGAAAGGAAAUCAAUAGAGACUCCGCUAGUAGUGGCGAGCGAACGCGGACCAGCCGAGCCUGGAAGAGUGACUGGAACUGUCUGGAAAGGCAGGCCAUAGCGGGUGACAGCCCCGUACAGGAAGCUCCACGGGACAUAUUAAGUAGGGCGGGACACGUGAAAUCCUGUCUGAAGAUCGGGGGACCACCCCCGAAGGCUAAGUACUCCUUGCUGACCGAUAGCGAACCAGUACCGUGAGGGAAAGGUGAAAAGCACCCCGACAAGGGGAGUGAAACAGUACCUGAAACCGGACGCUUACAAGCAGUCGGAGGGGCAUCAGCCCUGACGGCGUACCUUUUGUAUAAUGGGUCAACGACUUGGUCUAACGAGCAAGCUUAAGCCGAUAGGUGUAGGCGCAGCGAAAGCGAGUCUUAAAAGGGCGCAUGAGUUCGUUGGAUCAGACCCGAAACCAGGUGAUCUAGCCAUGAGCAGGAUGAAGGUACGGUAACACGUACUGGAGGUCCGAACCAACACCCGUUGAAAAGGGUCUGGAUGACUUGUGGCUAGGGGUGAAAGGCCAAUCAAACCUGGAGAUAGCUGGUUCUCCGCGAAAGCUAUUUAGGUAGCGCCUCGGACGAAUACCUCGGGGGGUAGAGCACUGCAUGGAUGAUGGGGGCCCACAGCCUUACUGAGUCUAAGCAAACUCCGAAUACCCGAGAGUACUAUCCGGGAGACACACGGCGGGUGCUAACGUCCGUCGUGAAGAGGGAAACAACCCUGACCUGCAGCUAAGGCCCCUAAUUCGUGGCUAAGUGGGAAAGCAUGUGGGACGGCCAAAACAACCAGGAGGUUGGCUUAGAAGCAGCCAUC
rnacentral:rRNA from 1 species